rnacentral:ncRNA from 1 species
UUGUGGGAGAGUCCGGCCAGAGCACCCCUGUUUUCAAGCGCACGGCCGGCGCCGAAGGAGCAACCGCCCCGGAAACUCUCAGGCACCCGGACCGCAACGG